ACUCAGCUAACGAGUCUCAAAUAGGACGAAACGUGCGUCCUGGAU
rfam:Schistosoma rodhaini strain Burundi genome assembly, scaffold: SROB_scaffold0006064